UUAAGACUCUCACCACUGUACUUACACGAGACAUCCAACCUCCCAAGGCCAGCAUCGACGACGACUGUCUGCGUGGUGCUAUCUGCGGUUCUUCUACAUCGAGCUCAAACACGCGGACGACCUGCUUGCCUCCGCCUCUUCUGCAAGCAUGACGGCAUCUCUUCAACCUCCUGUGUGGAGGCCCUUCCUCCAAGCUGCUGGAGCUCGACACCUGGUCUCCACCAAGUGGUCUGUCCCCGGUGGUUCCAUGGCGUCCAGCGGCGACAGAGCUUCGUCGGAUUCGGGUGUUCGAGCGUAUGUGCCUAGUUCCUCGGCGGCGACGCCUUGAGGAUGCCGGCGACUGGUGGUGGUGGCGGAGGCGCCUAGGGACCUGGUUGCUUUUCCAGAUUUUGUUCCAGGUUGUUUUUCCUAAUUCUAGAGGGAAAUCCAGGUCGGCUUCUGUAGGCCCUUCUCUCCCCCGCUCGGUGGUGGACGGCGCGGAACGAACGCGUCGAGCGGCGUCGUUGCGCUGGUGUAGGGCAUAGCGGCGCGGUACCAACCGGCGGCGAGCGCUGGCGGCGGAUUCCUGCGCGCUGGUCGUCCACGCGGAGGGCUUGGUGAAGAUGGCGGCUGUCGAGCGCUCAGGCACCAUCCUUCCGGUCGAUACGGACGCCGCUCGAUCGCUACAGCGUCAAAAUCCGCCAGCUCCUCCUCCGCGCGCGGAGUGCGUUCCAGAAGAGCGGAUUACCCGAGCGGGAGCUGCGGCAAGGCAGAGUUCGGCCGUUUGCCGCCUCCUACCGUACUCCGUAGCUGCGCCUCCGUCUGCUUGCUCCAUGCGCGGGGCGCACAUGAGCGAUUCAGAGACUAAACCUGCAUCGGUGAUUGGGUAUUUUCCAGGGUGAGUUUCUGCUUUUGCCGCUGAGGGUGACUCCUGAAUCCCCUCAUGUAUCCCAGCUACUGACUUUCUCUUCAAUACGUGGGAUGGCACCUUGGAUAGCUCAUAACUUCACCUCUGCCAAUGUUUUUUUCCAUGACUUUUCUAAAUUUGUGCUGCAAUGGUGUUGUCCCAAGCACCAGGAGGCUGUUGGGCUGCGCGGCUGUUGCCUUUCGGGAGGCUAUUGGGUUGUGCGGCUGUUGCCAUCAGUACUGGCGCCGAAUUAUUUGCUUGCUACGUCUGCCUUUCUAUUCAGGAGGGGAAUUGGUGUUUGGCCUGUUUCCUCCCUUGCGUGCUCAGCCUCCUACUGACGUACUAAGCUGAAAUCUGUCUUCACGAGUGACCUGGUGGAUAUGAAGAUGGUGCGUGUGUUCCUUUGCUUUUGGUUCCGUUUUUUGGUUCUUCCAUUUAAUUCUUUGUUGAUCUGUCUAGGCGAAUUGGUGAUCCCUCUGCUCCUAAUUCCGUUGAGCCAUAUUUGACAGUAUCCUUUGGCUCUGUUUAUCCUCCAUUUUCAGGGUGUUCUUCUUCAGAUGAUGUCAGGUAGUUUGUCCUUCCAUGUCCUUUCUUUUGUGAUUUUGGUUGUGCCUAACCAAUUGAAGUUUUGUUCAACAGUGAGUUGGGAUUUCAAUGUACAUUUCUCUUGCUUUUUUCUCAUCUUACAAAUGGGGCUAUUACUCCUAGGUGAGCACAUACAACAUAUAUUAUUGUUGUAUAUCAUGUCAGACUGUAAUGACCAUUGAUUACCAUGCAUAGGGAGACAUGAUAAUUCAUGAAGAUAAAUGAUGUGACAUACAAGAACUUGGAUUCGAUAAAGCAGCAAAGUGCAAACUCAAAAUUGUAUCUGCCCACAGUUAGUAGUAGAAUGGUAGGCCAUAGAGGCUCUGAAGUAGUGAAAGCACCUAUAGCUGGGUGCAGAAGGAUCGAUUGGGUACACCACGGAGAAUAAACCUAGAUAAUUUCUCUGAGCGUGUAAUAUUGAGUUCUAAUUCAAAAGCAUGGUUGCGCCUUAGCUUUUUUUUACUAUAUUAUAGUCCUACCAUUACUAAUUUUCACCAUCUUCAACUGUAAAUAUGUCAUAUCAAAAAGUUCGAUUUCCAAUGGGAGAUAUCAGUUUUCGGUACAUUGUCAGAAACGGAGGUAAAGUAUCUUAGUUCCCGGUACAAUGCUUUAGCAGUACUCUGCGAAGUUGCCAAAUGAUAAGAAUUCUAUUAUCUGAAGAUACAGAUAGACAUGUAGAGCCGCCAAAUACAGCAGUACUUUCUAAUUUAUACAUCUACUUAUAACUUGAGUUAUUGUGUUAUCUGAAGAUACAGAUUGACAUCUAGAUCCGCAAAAUACACUGAUUCGAAUUAAUUUGGAUCGAAAGGAGUACUGUAUUUUGUGGAUUUAGAGACUAUUUACUAGCUACUAGGCAUAAUGUACCUAGAAUUGCUACACAAUUGACAGCCUUCAUACCAUCUGCUAAAAAUGGAUCAUGUCGGUGAAGUGAAUUUAUAAUUUUAUCUCUUAUGUGUAAUUAAAUCCAUGUAAGUUCUACACGAGUACCCGAGAUUGUUAUCCAUCUUUUUGGCUCCAUCUAAAUUGGUCGUGUUGACUAUAUCAGAGAUAGAAUGUAGUACUCAAUUGUAUCAGAUUGGUUUCCUAUUGCAUUCUAGGAUAUUUGAACUCCAAGAUGUUAAAUAUUUUGCACUCACUUUUUUCCUGAAAAAUAGCCACCAUCCCUUUAUUGAUGACAGUGAAGUGAUUCCAGACUUGACAUGCCGCAGCUUAUUCCUAGCUUGGUACCGAGGAGGGUAGGAUCUUCCCCUCUAUCCUAUGGCGCGCCCUUGACCUGCUGCUCCGGGGCAGUUUUGUCUAGCGGCAGCACAGAUAUGCCAUCUCUACAGCUGCUAACAAUUACGUGCUUAUUUAGGUGAUGAUUAGUUUCCAUACUACGCUUCAGCUGUCUUCACAUUAGAGCAUGACGCCGAUGCCUGCCUUGGACAUCAGAAUGCCAUGACAUGCAGUUUUCUGAGCUCCUGCAUGGCGCCCGGAACCUGUUGCUCUCUGCGGUGUGUUACAAAUCAUGUCAUAUUCCUACUUCAUUUGCUACCGGAGUGUCUUAGAGAUCACUUUACCAGUAGUGUGAUGCACAUGUUUGCUGCUUGCAAAUAGACUAGAUUUUAAUACAAUGACCAACAAUACAUGAAGCUCAUGUUAACGUGUUCUAUUAUACUGUACAGUUUGUACUGUAUACCUAGGCAUGUGUGUGGAUAUGGUUAUUUGUUUCA